CUUCACCCCUCACCCAAACUUAUUACCGACCCAAUCUUCCUCUCUUCUUCCUCUUUCUCUCUCGUGCACGGACAACCCGACAUCGACGGAGAGCCUUCUCCACCUGCAAUCUCGGCUUCGUCGCGUCAUCGGAGGGAAAGCGUCGUCGGAUCUCGACAGUACCAGCCAUCUCUGGCUGAGUGGUCGACUCUUCGACCGUUCUUGCUCGCGGUCGGCAGCAGCUCGACGUCUAGGGCACGACGGGGGAGUUGAUUCGCGUAGUUCCCCGCCGAUCGAUCUCCUCGUUCCUCCUCCUCGAUCUGUUCACUGGAGAGUGAUCCACAUCUCUACACCAACUGGAUUAGAUCGGGUGAUACCACUUGGAGGCAACCAAUUGAGUGGGUGGCAUAAGAUCAGCUAAUUGGUGGAUUUCUCCUCUAUUGAUCUUUACUUCUACACUUCUUGUAGCUGUUGAAGUCUUUGUGAAGAGGUGGAGGUUUGUUUGAGGGUUCUUGAUAGCAGUAGGUAGGAGUCUUGUUGGCUGUGAGAUUCGGAAUUUGUUGUCAAAACCUCAAGGACCUUGAUACGUGACGAGCCACAUGACGUGAGUGGUUCUGUUGAUACGAGAUAUAUCGAUGCGGAUAAAGGAAAAGGAUGGAUAAACUAAGGGAGCGGCAGGAGGGGCAAGAGAUGUGUAUGGUAGUGGCUCGACUAAGGAAAAGAUCUACUUAUGUUAAUUUAUGCUUGAUAUGAACUAUGUCUAUCUUAUGUUAAUGUUUUGCAUGCUUACAUAAUACUUAUUCAUGCUUAUGUUGGAAAUUGAUAUCAUGACUUUUUAAAAUUCAAA